UACGUAGGCAGCGAGCGUUGUUCGGAAUUACUGGGCGUAAAGAGUGUGUAGGCGGUGUUCCCAGUCUGUUGUGAAAUCUCCCGGCUUAACUGGGAGGGUGCAGCGGAAACUAGAAUGCUAGAGGGUGGGAGAGGUAAGCGGAAUUCCUGGUGUAGCGGUGAAAUGCGCAGAUAUCAGGAGGAACACCGAUGGCGAAGGCAGGUCUCUGGGCCACUACUGACGCUGAGAAGCGAAAGCGUGGGGAGCGAACAGG
rnacentral:rRNA from 1 species